rnacentral:rRNA from 4 species
AAAAUGACUCUCGACAACGGAUAUCUCGGCUCUUGCAUCGAUGAAGAACGUAGCGAAAUGCGAUACUUGGUGUGAAUUGCAGAAUCCCGUGAACCAUCGAGUCUUUGAACGCAAGUUGCGCCUGAAGCCAUUAGGUCGAGGGCACG